UGUCUCUCCGUACGGGGACGCGAGACGCCCCGACGGCAGGGUUCCCUUCGCCGCCGCGCAGCCGCUUCCGGCAGCCCUCGCCACCAUCUUCCGUCCCUAAUCGCCGUUGUAGUCCUUCCCCGCUGGUAAAUAGCCUUGACGGAGCCCUAGCCACCGGCUCCCUGGAGCACGGCGCCCGCCGAUAUACACGAUGGAGCGCCGGUGGACGUCCUGAUCGUGGGCGAGGACCCCGCCGAGGCGACUAACCUCGCCUCGCGUGACUCCCCAGCAUCUCUGCAAUCGCCUCGCGCAGCUCCCCCAGCAUCUCUGCCAUCGCUUCGCGAUGCCGUCCGCAAGGACCAAGGAUACCACCGGCUCUCCUUGAUAUCUCUGUAUCCACUCCCCCGAGGUGCGAGGACUUCGCCGGCGUCAAGGCCACUGCCGGGCGGGACGUGCAGGCUCCCGAGGAGCGCGGCGCUCCUCUCCUGGUGUGGCGCACAAGGGAAGGAGGAGGGAAUCGAGCUGCCGGCACACCACCCGCCGUUCGCCCCUGGUCCAGACUCCAGACUUUGUCGGAACUCGAUCUGUCGGUUCUGCACUUAGAUCAUCGGAAUAUAGAUUAUUGAUCAAGCAUGAAAUGUUGUAAAGGAAAAGAAUCUACAUUUACAUGCUUGAUUUGAAGACUUGCUAGCUGGGUGAAGAAGCUUUCUGACAAAUAUCCAAAUAACUCUAAUAGGCCCAAGUUGAGCAUAUGUUAGAUGGUCUAGAUGACAUGGAUGGUGCCGAGGAUGUUCCUUUUGAUGAGCUCAUAGGCAUGCAAGGAGUAGUAUUUCACUUGGUUGGGAAUGCAAUUACAGUGUUUGAGCUUUGAGGUAGGAUAGCAGGAGCGGUGACUAGCAUCAAGGAGGAGAAGCAAGAAGCAGCGACAACUAGCAGCGACAACUAGCUAGCUGCUAGCAUGCGCUCCUCUCUCUCAUGUACAUGGAUUUGUAAUGGGCAAAGUACUUUCUCGGUUCUUUCUUUAGUGUGAACCAUCUUUUGCUAUUCAUGAGCAUCCACCCACAACCUGUUUGAUGUUAUGCAUACAACAGAUUGAGACACAUUUUAAUUUUCUGGUCAAACUCUUACCUCUAUUUAGAAAAUGAAAAUGAAGAAGCAUGUGUAUCUGAUGUCGGAUCUGCACCUUAAACAAGUGUACCUGAUGUUCCAAGCUUACAAUGUGAUCUACACUGAAGCCAAUCCGAGCCAGGUGAAAUAGAAGUUGAUAGAUUAUUCCGGCGACAUGGCUUCAAUAUAUAUCAUUCGGAAAUAUGCUUGCGCGGCUCUGCCUAUAUGUUUACAACUUGCAAAUGGCCUGAUUUUAUCAGUUGUUGCUUGAUUAAAGAUCAACCAGUUUAUGUCUGACAUUUGUGUUUCUACAUUUAUGCAGUACCAUUCCAGAGCUCAAGGCAUCGGGUACGCUUUACACAUAGAGUCUCGCUCAGUUUAGUUUCCAUGUAGUGUUAAAUUCAGAUGAGCUAUAUUCAUUACAAAUAGUAAGCUAAAGCAGAUUAAAAAAGAUGAUAGAUUUGCUCAAUCCAUGUUCAGUUGCUAAACUGACCAAGAGCUGCACUUCAAAGAGCCAACUGUUCAAUAUAAAUCAGCCAUAACUUUGUUAGUUUUUCAUAACUGUUCAAUAUCUGAUUUUUGUGAUCUGGAAAACAUUACUGGUUAUUUCAUAGUAAGAUUGUAGAGUUGUUAUCCCUCUGUUUUGCUUAUCUAUUCACUUGCUUAUUGUAAAUAAAUAAUUAAAUAGUCGGGAGUUGUAAUUUCAAGGAAAGAAACAGGAAGCUCUUUGAGGUCUCUGCUAUCACACCUGUACGGGCAGUUCAUGGGUACAUUUGUUGGUGUUCUGUUCGGAUCAGUGGAGAUUGAUCUUUCAGUCACAUGCCAAUCCAUGUCUAGCCUGUUUAGUCACAUUGAGCUCUUCCAACUUUUAUCAAGCUGUUCCAAGCAUCAUAUUUGAAAUAGCUUAUGUUUUAUAGGUAUAGACCUACAAGUUUGUUGCUGAAUAUGACU